rnacentral:tRNA from 1 species
GCGGGGGUGCCCGAGCCAGGUCAAAGGGGCAGGGCUUACGUCCCUGUUGGUAGGCCUGCGUGGGAACAACGGCGGAUAUCCGCCCCAAAAAUCCCACCCCUCGUACCA